UACGGGGGGAGCAAGCGUUGUUCGGAUUUACUGGGCGUAAAGGGCGCGUAGGCGGUCAGCACAAGUCAGUUGUGAAAUCUCCGGGCUUAACUCGGAAAGGUCAACUGAUACUGUGCGACUAGAGUGCAGAAGGGGCAACUGGAAUUCUCGGUGUAGCGGUGAAAUGCGUAGAUAUCAAGAGGAACACCUGCGGCGAAGGCGGGUUGCUGGGCCGACACUGACGCUGAAGUGCGAAAGCUAGGGGAGCGAACGGG
rnacentral:rRNA from 1 species